AUGCAGAUCUUUGUGAAGACCCUCACCGGCAAGACCAUCACCCUUGAGGUCGAGUCCUCUGACACGAUUGACAAUGUCAAGGCGAAGAUCCAGGACAAGGAGGGCAUCCCUCCGGACCAGCAGCGCCUCAUCUUCGCUGGCAAGCAGCUUGAGGACGGUCGCACCCUCGCUGACUACAACAUCCAGAAGGAGUCCACCCUCCACCUGGUGCUCCGCCUCAGGGGUGGUAUGCAGAUCUUCGUUAAGACCCUCACCGGCAAGACCAUCACGCUCGAGGUCGAGUCAUCUGACACCAUUGACAAUGUGAAGGCGAAGAUCCAGGACAAGGAGGGCAUCCCACCGGACCAGCAGCGCCUCAUCUUUGCUGGUAAGCAGCUCGAGGACGGCCGCACCCUCGCUGACUACAACAUCCAGAAGGAGUCCACCCUCCACCUGGUGCUCCGUCUCCGUGGUGGCCAGUAA
rnacentral:rRNA from 1 species